rnacentral:misc_RNA from 1 species
UGUCGGCCAUUAAGUGUCACGAAAUCGUUCAUCUAAAUUUUCGAGUUAUUUUCGACAAAUCAAUUUAAAUCAGAAAGAAUCUGUUCACGUCCGCAGUUUAAAGUUAUAGUACUUUCCUGACGGUCGCGGAUUUCCGGAAAGUCGUCGAAAAGUUGACACCUCAAUUUUGGCUCCGUAAAAGAAGAAUCAGCGAGGACCCUCGUCUCGAAAGAUGCCCGUCAUAGGAUGCACUCCGGAGGACAAUUGCAAAAAGGACGCGUACUUGGCGAGACGAGCUCGUUUACGUGCCAAAGCGAAUGAGGGACCGGAUGCCAAGGAGCUCGUGAAACCAGCCGAAGUCGAACAAUCGGAAUCGGCCGCGAUCGAGAUUUCGCCAAGUCCAGGAUCCAGAGGAGGGAAAUCCUCGGAGAGCUCUCAGCAGGAAGAUCGGAACGCCGGCGAGGAUCCCGUAGAUGAUCGAUCGAUCGGGAACCGAGAGAUCGAGGACACGGUUAGUGAAGCACCCCAAGAGUCGCCGAUUCAGCAGGAGACUCCAGAGGACCAACAAUCGGGACAAUUGGGGGACCCGACUGCGCAGGAUCCCGAGAUCGAGAUCGAAGAUGCCGAUCGAUCGGCCGAUAAUCCGGUGGAAGUCGCUGCCUCGGACUAGCUUCGAUUUCUCGAUAAAGCGCUUUGUCGAGACACCGGCAAUAGCGUGCUAUUAGCCUUUGAUUCGGGAAGUCUGUUCCCAGGACGCGAAGAAGGAGCCUCUUUCCUCCCUGCUCCUCCUUUCUUCUCACGCAAUUAUCCCCGCAAUAAGAUGAAACGAGACGGGACGGAAUCAGCCCGGGGAGUUCCAUCGAAGAAUUAGUAUUCAGGGGAUACUAAUUGUCCCCGGAUCUCCCUCUUUCGGCGCAUUGUCCUGGACUUCCGGAGGUCCUGGCUGCAUGGCUUCCACGGGGAAUGCCGAGGACACGGACCGGGGGGAAGAAUUGUCAGCUCGUUCCGGGGGAAGUCGAAACUCAUCCAACACUUUGAUAGGAGAAGAUGGCGAGGAGGAUGCCGAGUACAGUGAGAGUAAGGAUUGCGACGAUAUUCCUGGGAUGAAAGAAAUAUAGUGGAUCGUGAAAUUACUUUUAAUUCGUUUCGUCAGAGUACGAGGAAGCGGUGUUCACGGCCACUGCAUUUGCAGUGGUAAUUGCAGUGUACUGUUGCAUCGUUUACUCCCUGAGUAGUCCACCCUCGCAUCUGUCGUCACUAUCUUACCACUAAGAAGCACCUGGACCGAAGUAAACCAUGGAGAGGAAGUAAUCUACAGUCAUUAUUUAAAGGAACUUUAAUAUAUUUCGAGUAGGUGUAAAAUAAAGCAAACUCGAAAUAAUCAAUAUCCCGCCAGACAAUUUAUCCGAAUAAAG